GCUAAGUAUGUCUUUUCAUAGCUAAUUAGCUAAUUAUGUCAUUUUGGAGCUAAAUCAGCUAAGUAUGUCUUCUUGCAGCUAAACUAGCUAAUUAUGUCAUUUUGGAGCUAAAUUAGCUAAAUAUGUCAUUGUUGGGGAAAAUAAGCUAAGGAGAAGAAAGAGGAGGAGAAGGAGAAGAAGAAGAAUAAGAAGAAGAAGAAGAAGAAGAAGAAGGGGGAGGAGGAGGAGAAGGGGGAGAAGAAGAAGAAGAAGAAGG
rnacentral:lncRNA from 1 species